rnacentral:rRNA from 1 species
AGAGUUUGAUCCUGGCUCAGGAUGAACGCUGGCGAGAUGCUUUACACAUGCAAGUCGUACGAGAGUUUUUAACUCAAGUGGCGGACGGGUGAGUAACACGUAAGAAUUUGCCUUUAGGAGGGGGACAACAAUUGGAAACGAUUGCUAAUACCCCAUAUGCUUUCGAGUGAAAUGGAUUUUUCCGCCUAAAGAGAAGCUUGCGGCUGAUUAGCUUGUUGGUAAGGUAAUGGCUUACCAAGGCGACGAUCAGUAUCUGGUUUGAGAGGACGAUCAGACACACUGGAACUGAGACACGGUCCAGACUCCUACGGGAGGCAGCAGUGGGGAAUUUUCCGCAAUGGGCGAAAGCCUGACGGAGCAAUCUCGCGUGAGGGAUGACGGCCUAUGGGUUGUAAACCUCUUUUUUCAGGGAGGAAUAAAAUGACGUGUACCUGAAGAAUAAGCAUCGGCUAACUCCGUGCCAGCAGCCGCGGUAAUAC